UACAGAGGGAUAGCCCAGAGAAAUUUGGAUUAAUACCUCAUAGUAUAAUUGAAUGGCAUCAUUUAAUUAUUAAAGUCACAACGGUAAAAGAUGAGCAUGCGUCCCAUUAGCUAGUUGGUAAGGUAACGGCUUACCAAGGCUACGAUGGGUAGGGGUCCUGAGAGGGAGAUCCCCCACACUGGUACUGAGACACGGACCAGACUCCUACGGGAGGCAGCAGUGAGGAAUAUUGGACAAUGGGCGCAAGCCUGAUCCAGCCAUGCCGCGUGCAGGAUGACGGUCCUAUGGAUUGUAAACUGCUUUUGUACAGGAAGAAACACUGGUUCGUGAACCAGCUGACGUAC
rnacentral:rRNA from 1 species